UAGUUAAGUUGCAAUUUUUGUUACUAAUUUUUUUAAAAAAUAUUUAAUAGUAUUAACUUACUAAUAAAUACGAGAAAUUGUUCGACAAAAUAAGCCUAUUAUACCUUUUCUCUUCCACCGAACGAAUUCACAAUCCGUUCCACCGCCUCACUCGGUGUCUUUAACCCCUCUCUCGAUUUAUAACACAAUAUAUUGUGUGACUCUGUUUCACUCAUCAUUCGUUUGGGUUUUCCACUUUUCAAUUGUUUGUGUUCGUUACUCACUAGGAUUUUAAGCGUUCUGUAGUGUGUCGCGCCUCUUUUGUCUGCUUCUUCUCUCUUUGAAGUUUAAAUGGCCGAAGAGAAACAACGGUAAGCCAACGCAAAGAAGCAGAAGAACACGCUCAAGUAUAAGUAGAGCCUUUCAUAAAUGGAUUGCUUUUCUUUAUCUGAUUCUCGUUUUCCUCUUUGUUAUCUCAUCUUCCACAAUACCUCUUCCAUCUCUUGCAUUUCUUUUCUUUUGUCUUCUUUAACACGAUUGAGAUUUCUUUUCCUUCUCUGAUUUUGAAUUGAACUCGAUUAUUGUUUCUAUUUUUUCUGAUUUUUUUUCUCUUCUGUUUGGAAUGCAAUGAGACUGGAGUCCUUCUCUGAUUUUGAAUUGAACUCCAUUCUUUUUUUCUUUUUUUUUCUGAUUCUUGUUUUCUUCUGUUUGGAAUGCAAUGACACUGGACUCUUUCGCUGUUCUUAUUGUUGUUUUUGAUCCCUCUAUCUGGGUCAUGGUUCUUUCUUGAACUUGCGUUUUCUUGUUUUUAGACCGGGUGCAAGAACAGGAAUGAUGACUGAGGAUACAAAUUCGCUGUAUGAAAAUUUCAAUGAUCAUGUUUCCGUAUUAUUUCAUUAUAUGUUGACAAGAAGUACAAGAAGUGUUUCUUUUUUCUACGGUGAAUUCAAGCAUUGUUUUCAUUAUAUAGUAGCAUGAUUUCCAAGAACUUAAUAGUUUUUUGUGAUAAGUUAGAAGAUAAAAUGAAGCUGCAUUGUUUUUUAUGAUAAGAUGAUUUACUACUCUCUACUGAUGGUGGCAAUGGUAUAGCAGCAUGAAUGAUUCAUGUUUAUCAUCAAAGCAUUAACUUAUAAUGGUCUCAGAAUUUGGACUUUAGAGCACAAGUCUACUCACAAAACUAGCUUCUAAUGUGGAUACUGAUAAAAUUUUAUUAAAGUCAUAUUUCUAGUCAAUGAAAGACUAAAUACCAACCUUGACACUGCAAUUAAGGCAGCCCAAAGUGGCCACAACUAAGUAGGGUUAAAGGUGACUUCAAUUAUGGUGGCUUUCCAACAAAUGGAAAUUGCAACAAUAAUGGGUCUGUUUGUUUAAAUUUUUUUUUGUUUUUAAAAAUCAUUUUUUAAUGAAUAAACAAUUUCUUACUUUUCAAUGUGUUUGUCUAAACUAAUUGAAAAUAAUAAAAUCAGUUUUCUGCUCUGAAGUAAGUAACUCUCAUUUGCUUCACACUUCGAGCUUCAUGCUUUGCAAAUACAUGUUUUGGAAUUUUCUCAAUAUCAGAAAAUGAUGAGUGUCGUUUGUAGCUGGAACAAUAUGCAUGUUUUGUUCUCAAAGGGUGCCCCAUAAAGUAUAAUUUCUAGAGAUGCAGUCGUUCUGUGCAAUGAUGGUCCCAUUCUGCCACUUACAGCUGAUGUUUGAGCAGAGCUGGCCUCAAGGUUCCAAAGGUUUGCUUUUUAUUAUUUAUAAUCUUAUCUGCAAAAAGUAUUCCAUAAUUUUCUUUUGAAAAUUUCCCUUCCUUUUUGGUUCUUAUGCUAAUUAGGCUAUAAAAAAAACUGACAAAAGAUGUCUGUCUCAUGUGCUUGCUCUGCAAGUGCAUAGUUCCCAUUUUUAAUAUCACUAGCAUUGCAAGGGUCGUCAAGUAUUUGUUGCAUACCUAGUGCCAUACCUGCUUGCUGCUAGGCCUCUAAAAAUAAUGAUAAAUAAAAUUACACAAAAAAAAAAAAUUCAUUGAUGACGGCCUAGAUGCCAACCCUACAGCCCCUGGCCAUUUGCUGCCCUUUUCUCAAGUGCACUUUGUUUAUCCGCUUUUUUGAAAAUAAUAAAUUAAAGCAUCAAUAUUAGAUUUAAGUAAAUAAUUUUAACCAUUCAUAUAUGGUUUAUGAAAAUUAACUCCUCACUAGAUACACCUUUGUAUAAAUAAUUUUUAAAUAUAACACCUUUGAGAUUGUGGCUGUCAGUAAAAACAAUUAUCUUUCAUUUUUUAUUUUUAUUUUUGUUGCAGUGAAGCAAUAUGAUACCUUUGAGAUUGUUGCCGUCAAGAUCGCAAGACUUCGUGUAUUGCGAUUUGUUAAGGAUUUUCCUAAUUUUCUCUGCUUUGGAAUUUCAAUCAUGGACUGAUUUUUGAGGCAUGUAAAGACAAUCUCAAGAAGCUUCAGUAGUGAUACUAUGCCUCCAAUAUACUUAUAUGAAGGGUGACACAAAACAAUAAUUUUAUCUUUGGUUUGACCCAAGUCCAACUUUCUAAUUACCGUAGAUAUUUCCGUUAAGGAAAUCUUGUAUUGGGCUUUGAUCAAGUGAUCAUCAUUUUAUCCUUUUGACCCUUUUAUAUUAUCUCUUAACUAGUGUUUUUUACUUCAAA